rnacentral:misc_RNA from 1 species
UCUCCGUUGGUGAACCAGCGGAGGGAUCAUUACCGAGUUCCAGCAGCUCCCAACCCUUGCGAACCGUACCCCAGUCUGUUCUCGUUGCUUCCGGCAGGCGGGGGGGGCCACCUGGCCCCUCCCCCUGCCGGGGGCGGCGGGCCCUCUGAGCCUUUAUAUCUCAACCACUGAAACCCGUCUGAGCAAAACAAAAAAUAAUCAAAACUUUCAACAACGGAUCUCUUGGCUCUG